rnacentral:rRNA from 1 species
CCUACGGGAGGCAGCAGUGGGGAAUUUUGGACAAUGGGCGCAAGCCUGAUCCAGCCAUGCCGCGUGCAGGAUGAAGGCCUUCGGGUUGUAAACUGCUUUUGUACGGAACGAAAAGACUCUGGUUAAUACCUGGGGUCCAUGACGGUACCGUAAGAAUAAGCACCGGCUAACUACGUGCCAGCAGCCGCGGUAAUACGUAGGGUGCGAGCGUUAAUCGGAAUUACUGGGCGUAAAGCGUGCGCAGGCGGUUAUAUAAGACAGAUGUGAAAUCCCCGGGCUCAACCUGGGAACUGCAUUUGUGACUGUAUAGCUAGAGUACGGCAGAGGGGGAUGGAAUUCCGCGUGUAGCAGUGAAAUGCGUAGAUAUGCGGAGGAACACCGAUGGCGAAGGCAAUCCCCUGGGCCUGUACUGACGCUCAUGCACGAAAGCGUGGGGAGCAAACAGGAUUAGAUACCCUGGUAGUCCACGCCCUAAACGAUGUCAACUGGUUNUUGGGUCUUCACUGACUCAGUAACGAAGCUAACGNGUGAGUUGACCGCGUGGGAGGACGCGCGAGUAGUAACGACGAGAGAGUAGAGCGUGAGACGAGCGACGGACGACGACGAGGGAGGAGG